rnacentral:tRNA from 1 species
GGGGGUGUGGCGGAACUGGCAGACGCAGCGGACUUAAAAUCCGCCGGCCAAAAGCCGUGAGGGUUCGAGUCCCUCCACCCCCA